UAGGGAAUCUUCCACAAUGGACGCAAGUCUGAUGGAGCAACGCCGCGUGAGUGAAGAAGGUUUUCGGAUCGUAAAGCUCUGUUGUUGGUGAAGAAGGAUAGAGGUAGUAACUGGCCUUUAUUUGACGGUAAUCAACCAGAAAGUCACGGCUAACUACGUGCCAGCAGCCGCGGUAAUACGUAGGUGGCAAGCGUUGUCCGGAUUUAUUGGGCGUAAAGCGAGCGCAGGCGGAAGAAUAAGUCUGAUGUGAAAGCCCUCGGCUUAACCGAGGAACUGCAUCGGAAACUGUUUUUCUUGAGUGCAGAAGAGGAGAGUGGAAUUCCCUGUGUAGCGGUGGAAUGCGUAGAUAUAUGGAAGAACACCAGUGGCGAAGGCGACUCUCUGGUCUGCAACUGACGCUGAGGCUCGAAAGCAUGGGUAGCGAACAGG
rnacentral:rRNA from 1 species